rnacentral:rRNA from 1 species
AUUGAACGCUGGCGGCAUGUCUUACACAUGCAAGUCGAACGGUAACGCGGGGCAACCUGGCGACGAGUGGCGAACGGGUGAGUAAUGCAUCGGAACGUGCCCAGUAGUGGGGGAUAGCCCGGCGAAAGCCGGAUUAAUACCGCAUACGACCUACGGGUGAAAGGGGGGGAUCGCAAGACCUCUUGCUAUUGGAGCGGCCGAUGUCAGAUUAGGUAGUUGGUGGGGUAAAGGCCUACCAAGCCGACGAUCUGUAGCUGGUCUGAGAGGACGACCAGCCACACUGGGACUGAGACACGGCCCAGACUCCUACGGGAGGCAGCAGCGGGGAAUUUUGGACAAUGGGCGCAAGCCUGACCCAGCCAUGCCGCGUGCGGGAAGAAGGCCUUCGGGUUGUAAACCGCUUUUGUCAGGGAAGAAAUCUUCUGGGUUAAUACCUCGGGAGGAUGACGGUACCUGAAGAAUAAGCACCGGCUAACUACGUGCCAGCAGCCGCGGUAA